rnacentral:rRNA from 1 species
GACGAACGCUGGCGGCGUGCUUAACACAUGCAAGUCGAACGGAAAGGCCUGCUUUCCCUUGUGGUUUGCGGGUACUCGAGUGGCGAACGGGUGAGUAACACGUGAGUGAUCUGCCCCCAACUUGGGUAUAAGCCUGGGAAACUGGGUCUAAUUCCCGAUAGGACUGCAGGGUGGUGCCUGUGGUGGCAAACGAUUUUCUAGUGGUUGGGGAUGAGCUCGCGGCCUAUCAGCUUGUUGGUGGGGUAAUGGCCUACCAAGGCGGCGACGGGUAGCCGGCCUGAGAGGGUGGACGGCCACAUUGGGACUGAGAUACGGCCCAGACUCCUACGGGCGGCAGCAGUGGGGAAUAUUGCACAAUGGGCGGAAGCCUGAUGCAGCGACGCCGCGUGGGGGAUGACGGCCUUCGGGUUGUAAACUCCUUUCGACCGCGAGGAAGCCACGUGGUUGGAAGGGUGGUGACGGUAGUGGUAGAAGAAGCACCGGCUAACUACGUG